GGGUGCACCAGGCGCGAAACCUUUACAAUGCUGGCAACAGCGAUAGGGGGACCUCGAGUGCCAGGUUACAAAUCUGGCUGUCGUUGUGUCUAAAAAACACGAUAUAGCAAGGGCCGGGCAAGACCGGUGCCAGCCGCCGCGGUAACACCGGCGGCUCGAGUGGUAACCGCUAUUAUUGGGUUUAAAGGGUCUGUAGCCGGCCUGGUUAGUCCUUUGGGAAAUCCGGCAGCUCAACUGUCGGGCUUUCAGAGGAUACUGCCAGGCUCGAGACCGGGAGAGGUAAGAGGUACUUCAGGGGUAGGGGUGAAAUCUUGUAAUCCUUGAAGGACCACCAGUGGCGAAGGCGUCUUACCAGAACGGAUCUGACGGCAAGGGACGAAAGCUAGGGGCACGAACCGGAUUAGAUACCCGGGUAGUCCUAGCCGUAAACGAUACUCGCUAGGUGUCGGCCACGGUGCGACCGUUGUCGGUGCCGUAGGGAAGCCGUGAAGCGAGCCACCUGGGAAGUACGGCCGCAAGGCUGAAACUUAAAGGAAUUGGCGGGGGAGCACAAGGGCGAAUUCG
rnacentral:rRNA from 1 species